CAGCCAACCUUUUUGUAAUGACUGGAAUUUCAGCAAUAUCAAGCUCAAUGGUGGCUGUGGUCAUGUUCUCAUAGGAGGGGCAGAUGGAGUCACUGCCACCAACACAGUGUCUGGAAUGAUGGGCCUGACAGCACUCCCUGGCCUGGCAUCGGCAAGGGCAAGCGCACCACCUAUGGAGGAAUGUCUGAGCACAGCCAACCCCAUCCUGCAGGGACUCCUGACAGCCAGUUAGAGACUAGAGAUAGAGGGGGCUGGAUUGGACCACAUUGGGGAGUGAGGUAAGGGGGGAACGGUGUGUAUGUGUGAGUGUGCGUGUAAGACCACAUGGGUGGGCAAGAGAUAGCGAUUGGAUGAUUGUCAGUAUGUUUUCUUCAUAUAUAACACUGUAUUUAUUUCUGUUUUUUUCUGAGAUUGAGGAACAGAAAAACUCUAACAUACACAACUACGAAUCUGAAUUUAUCUCAUCUUCU
rnacentral:lncRNA from 1 species